GUCUCUGUAGCUCAGUAGGAUAGAGCGUUCGCCUCCUAAGCGAAAGGCCGUGAGUUCGAUUCUCGCCAGGGACACCA
rnacentral:tRNA from 1 species